rnacentral:rRNA from 1 species
GAUGAACGCUGGCGGCGUGCCUAAUACAUGCAAGUCGAGCGAACAGACGAGGAGCUUGCUCCUCUGACGUUAGCGGCGGACGGGUGAGUAACACGUGGAUAACCUACCUAUAAGACUGGGAUAACUUCGGGAAACCGGAGCUAAUACCGGAUAAUAUAUUGAACCGCAUGGUUCAAUAGUGAAAGACGGUUUUGCUGUCACUUAUAGAUGGAUCCGCGCCGCAUUAGCUAGUUGGUAAGGUAACGGCUUACCAAGGCAACGAUGCGUAGCCGACCUGAGAGGGGGAUCGGCCACACUGGAACUGAGACACGGUCCAGACUACUACGGGAGGCAGCAGUAGGGAAUCUUACGCAAUGGGCGAAAGCUUGACGGAGCAACGCCGCGUGAGUGAUGAAGGUCUUCGGAUCGUAAAACUCUGUUAUUAGGGAAGAACAAAUGUGUAAGUAACUAUGCACGUCUUGACGGUACCUAAUCAGAAAGCCACGGCUAACUACGUG